rnacentral:rRNA from 1 species
AACGAACGCUGGCGGCAUGCCUAACACAUGCAAGUCGAACGAGACCUUCGGGUCUAGUGGCGCACGGGUGCGUAACGCGUGGGAAUCUGCCCUUGGGUUCGGAAUAACAGUUGGAAACGACUGCUAAUACCGGAUGAUGACGUAAGUCCAAAGAUUUAUCGCCCAGGGAUGAGCCCGCGUAGGAUUAGCUAGUUGGUGGGGUAAAGGCCUACCAAGGCGACGAUCCUUAGCUGGUCUGAGAGGAUGAUCAGCCACACUGGGACUGAGACACGGCCCAGACGCCUACGGGAGGCAGCAGUGGGGAAUAUUGGACGAUGGGCGAAAGCCUGAUCCAGCAAUGCCGCGUGAGUGAUGAAGGCCUUAGGGUUGUAAAGCUCUUUUACCCGGGAUGAUAAUGACAGUACCGGGAGAAUAAGCCCCGGUUAACUCCGUG